AUAUUUGUUAUCUUAAUCCACAAAUCUACCCUCACCUUUCCAUCCUAUCAUUCAUCCUACUCGCUCCCUCUCCAACUCGACCGCCCCGCCGCCGGCCGCCGGCCGCCAUCUCCCGCCGCCGACCACCCCCGACCCACCGGCCGCGCCCAGCCCCAACUCGCCCCCGUUGCUGUCCUUGUGUCGCUGUCCCCGCCCGCGUUGCGCCUGGAUUGCACUCAGCCUUGGCCGCAAUCCAUCCGUGCUUUCCGGCGCUACCCACCACACAUCGAGCUAUCUACUGGGCAUUAUGAAAAGCGAGAAACAAAAUGUGUUUUGAUAACAUUUUGAUCAAAUCUUCGAUUGAUAUCAUUUGUCAUGCUGGCGCUAUUAUUAUUUCUUGGGCAAGGUUGAGCAAAAAAGAGCCGCAAGACUUGCUGCGGGAGGGUGCGAGAUUGCUAUUUCGAGCUGCUAAUGCUGGGAUGGACAAUCAGCUCAUAAACUCUAUUGCGGGUGAUAAAGAUUAUGCUCCACCUUAAGAAGACUAAUGAUAUGAUGUCAUGGAGUUCUUUACAAUUCUUGUUUGUGUGGGUGCUGAUAUCGUUAGUGAGUUGUGUCUCCUAUUUUGGUAGGAUGUGCAUGAACUUGUUAUGUUCUCACGCAUGUUUUCCUUGUGGUAGUCCUGAACUAGGCUUCUGCCAUAGAAACUAUCCUCCCCUCCCUCUCUUCUCACCUGUUGUGUGGAAAAAUUGGCAAACAAAUGUAUUUCUGUUACAUCAGUAAUUGAAAUGGGGUUCACUCUGGUAAAAAAUGCUUGAA
rnacentral:misc_RNA from 1 species